rnacentral:rRNA from 1 species
AUUGAACGCUGGCGGCAUGCCUAACACAUGCAAGUCGAGCGGAUGAAGGGAGCUUGCUCCUGGAUUCAGCGGCGGACGGGUGAGUAAUUCCUAGGAAUCUGCCUGGUCUUUGGGGAUAACGUCCGUACACGGGCGCUAAUACCGCAUCCGUCCUGAGGUUGAACGUGGUGGAUCUUCGGACCUCACGCUAUCAGAUGAGCCUAGGUCGGAUUAGCUAGUUGGUGGGGUAAAGGCCUACCAAGGCGACGAUCCGUAACUGGUCUGAGAGGAUGAUCAGUCACAUUGGAACUGAGACACGGUCCAGACUCCUACGGGAGGCAGCAGUGGGGAAUAUUGGACAAUGGGCGAAAGCCUGAUCCAGCCAUGCCGCGUGUGUGAAGAAGGUCUUCGGAUUGUAAAGCACUUUAAGUUGGGAGGAAGGGAAGUAAGUUAAUACCUUGCUGUUUUGACGUUACCAACAGAAUAAGCACCGGCUAACUUCGUG